AGAUUGAACGCUGGCGGCAUGCCUUACACAUGCAAGUCGAACGGUAACGCGGGGGCAACCCUGGCGACGAGUGGCGAACGGGUGAGUAAUACAUCGGAACGUACCCAGUAGUGGGGGAUAGCUCGGCGAAAAGCCGGAUUAAUACCGCAUACGACCUACGGGUGAAAGCGGGGGAUCGAAAGACCUCGCGCUAUUGGAGCGGCCGAUGUCGGAUUAGCUAGUUGGUGAGGUAAAGGCUCACCAAGGCUACGAUCCGUAGCUGGUCUGAGAGGACGACCAGCCACACUGGGACUGAGACACGGCCCAGACUCCUACGGGAGGCAGCAGUGGGGAAUUUUGGACAAUGGGCGAAAGCCUGAUCCAGCCAUGCCGCGUGUGUGAAGAAGGCCUUCGGGUUGUAAGCACUUUUGUUCGGAACGAACGCCAAGGUCGAAUAAACCUUGGUAAUGACGGUACCGGAAGAAUAAGCACCGGCUAACUACGUGCCAGCAGCCGCGGU
rnacentral:rRNA from 1 species